rnacentral:tRNA from 1 species
GUUUCCAUAGUGUAGUGGUUAUCACGUUCGCCUCACACGCGAUAGGUCCCCAGUUCGAAACUGGGCGGAAACA